GAUGAACGCUAGCGGCAGGCUUAAUACAUGCAAGUCGAGGGGCAGCACGGUUAGCAAUAACUGGUGGCGACCGGCGCACGGGUGCGUAACACGUAUACAAUCUACCUUAAACAGGGGGAUAGCCUUUCGAAAGAGAGAUUAAUACCCCGUAAUAAAUUGAACGGCAUCGUUUGAUUUUGAAAGCUCCGGCGGUUUGAGAUGAGUAUGCGUCUGAUUAGCUAGUUGGUGAGGUAACGGCUCACCAAGGCGACGAUCAGUAGGGGAUCUGAGAGGACUAACCCCCACACUGGUACUGAGACACGGACCAGACUCCUACGGGAGGCAGCAGUAAGGAAUAUUGGUCAAUGGAGGCAACUCUGAACCAGCCAUGCCGCGUGCAGGAUGACGGCCCUAUGGGUUGUAAACUGCUUUUAUACAAGAGAAAACCCGAGUACGUGUACUCGGUUGAUAGUAUUGUAAGAAUAAGCAUCGGCUAACUUCGUGCCAGCAGCCGCGGUAA
rnacentral:rRNA from 1 species